rnacentral:rRNA from 1 species
UGGGGAAUAUUGCACAAUGGGGGGAACCCGUGAUGCAGCGACGCCGCGUGGGUGAAGGAGUAUUUCGGUAUGUAAAGCCCUAUCAGCAGGGAAGAACAAUGACGGUACCUGACUAAGAAGCACCGGCUAAAUACGUGCC